UGGUGGAGUGAUUUGUCUGGUUAAUUCCGUUAACGAACGAGACCUUAGCCUACUAAAUAGUUCCGAUAAUUCCAUUAGCGGCAACUUCUUAGAGGGACUUUGUGUAAAUACAAGGAAGUUUGAGGCAAUAACA
rnacentral:rRNA from 1 species